AGUGAACGCUGGCGGUAGGCCUAACACAUGCAAGUCGAACGGCAGCACAGUAAGAGCUUGCUCUUACGGGUGGCGAGUGGCGGACGGGUGGGGAAUACAUCGGAAUCUACUUUUUCGUGGGGGAUAACGUAGGGAAACUUACGCUAAUACCGCAUACGACCUACGGGUGAAAGCAGGGGAUCUUCGGACCUUGCGCGAUCGAAUGAGCCGAUGUCGGAUUAGCUAGUUGGCGGGGUAAAGGCCCACCAAGGCGACGAUCCGUAGCUGGUCUGAGAGGAUGAUCAGCCACACUGGAACUGAGACACGGUCCAGACUCCUACGGGAGGCAGCAGUGGGGAAUAUUGGACAAUGGGCGCAAGCCUGAUCCAGCCAUACCGCGUGGGUGAAGAAGGCCUUCGGGUUGUAAAGCCCUUUUGUUGGGAAAGAAAAGCAGCAGGUUAAUACCCAGCUGUUCUGACGGUACCCAAAGAAUAAGCACCGGCUAACUUCGUG
rnacentral:rRNA from 1 species